UACAAGCAGUGGGAGCACGCUUCGGCGUGUGACUGCGUACCUUUUGUAUAAUGGGUCAGCGACUUAUAUUCUGUAGCAAGGUUAACCGAAUAGGGGAGCCGAAGGGAAACCGAGUCUUAACUGGGCGUUAAGUUGCAGGGUAUAGACCCGAAACCCGGUGAUCUAGCCAUGGGCAGGUUGAAGGUUGGGUAACACUAACUGGAGGACCGAACCGACUAAUGUUGAAAAAUUAGCGGAUGACUUGUGGCUGGGGGUGAAAGGCCAAUCAAACCGGGAGAUAGCUGGUUCUCCCCGAAAGCUAUUUAGGUAGCGCCUCGUGAAUUCAUCUCCGGGGGUAGAGCACUGUUUCGGCAAGGGGGUCAUCCCGACUUACCAACCCGAUGCAAACUGCGAAUACCGGAGAAUGUUAUCACGGGAGACACACGGCGGGUGCUAACGUCCGUCGUGAAGAGGGAAACAACCCAGACCGCCAGCUAAGGUCCCAAAGUCAUGGUUAAGUGGGAAACGAUGUGGGAAGGCCCAGACAGCCAGGAUGUUGGCUUAGAAGCAGCCAUCAUUUAAAGAAAGCGUAAUAGCUCACUGGUCGAGUCGGCCUGCGCGGAAGAUGUAACGGGGCUAAACCAUGCACCGAAGCUGCGGCAGCGACGCUGAUGCGUUGUUGGGUAGGGGAGCGUUCUGUAAGCCUGCGAAGGUGUGCUGUGAGGCAUGCUGGAGGUAUCAGAAGUGCGAAUGCUGACAUAAGUAACGAUAAAGCGGGUGAAAAGCCCGCUCGCCGGAAGACCAAGGGUUCCUGUCCAACGUUAAUCGGGGCAGGGUGAGUCGACCCCUAAGGCGAGGCCGAAAGGCGUAGUCGAUGGGAAACAGGUUAAUAUUCCUGUACUUGGUGUUACUGCGAAGGGGGGACGGAGAAGGCUAUGUUGGCCGGGCGACGGUUGUCCCGGUUUAAGCGUGUAGGCUGGUUUUCCAGGCAAAUCCGGAAAAUCAAGGCUGAGGCGUGAUGACGAGGCACUACGGUGCUGAAGCAACAAAUGCCCUGCUUCCAGGAAAAGCCUCUAAGCAUCAGGUAACAUCAAAUCGUACCCCAAACCGACACAGGUGGUCAGGUAGAGAAUACCAAGGCGCUUGAGAGAACUCGGGUGAAGGAACUAGGCAAAAUGGUGCCGUAACUUCGGGAGAAGGCACGCUGAUAUGUAGG
rnacentral:rRNA from 1 species